AAACUGGGAUUAGAUACCCCACUAUGCUCAACCUUAAACAACGAUGACACCAUACAAAUAUCAUCCGCCAGGGGACUACGAGCGUUAGCUUAAAACCCAAAGGACUUGGCGGUGCCUCAAACCCACCUAGAGGAGCCUGUUCUA
rnacentral:rRNA from 1 species